CCCUGCUGAGACUCAGGGUCCAGUCCAAACUCCUCAGCUCCCGGGGCCCCUCUGGGCUGUCAGCGCCGCGCUUGGUGAGAGUUUUGAUGACCCUUUCCGGCCAGGGCCGGCGUGUGCCUAGGCCUAGACGGCUCCACCUUGGGAGGUGAGAAGAGGGAAACCUGGACCUAAGUAAACCUGACCUUUGCUCGCCGGGCACCCAGUCCCUGCUGCCAUCUGGCUGCUCAAAGCCCAAGAGGGUGGUGCCUGUUCGGCUCCGAUCUUCGGGUUGUGAAGACAUGGGUUUUCCACGUGGUUCCACUCGCGCCUCAGGAAGGCAGGAAUGAUGGGGGGGUUAUGGGGUACCCACACAGCGACGCCAGGAGUGAGGCAACCUGCCAUCCCAACGCUGAGCCCUCAUAACGCUGCUGGGGUGGGCACUAACGACACCCACGCGCAAAGCGCACGGGACCCACGAUGCUCGCCCCUAACCCAGCGCCUUCGCAGCCUCCCCAAAGCGCUGCCUGCCAAGAAGACUGUCAGGCGGAGUUAGCCAAAGGGAAGCCAUUAUCGAGCGCUGGGGGUUGAAUUUCAGUCCGCUGGACCACAGUGCUUACUCUCAGCGAAACGCAGCAGCCCAAGAGUUGUUUUGGCUGCGUCGAGCCGCGUGGAUGGGGUGGGUCAUCCAGAAGAAGGAAUUCUGAGUGGUGGCUCUAGAAAUGUUAAGAUUGGCAGCCUCCAGACCGUACUGUUUUUUAUGUUGGUCACGCUUCUCUUAAGAGCGACUGGAAGGCAACAAGUUGGAUUUUUGUGUAGUCACACAAACGCUUAACCACUGUAACCCUGGGCAAGAAAGGAACGGGAAUUGUAUGCCUUCCUUGGGUUUGAGGGUUUUUCUCUCCACUAUUUUAUUCAUAAUUCGAAAAGCAAAUAAAACAUUUGAAAAGAA